rnacentral:rRNA from 1 species
UACGGAGGGUGCAAGCGUUAUCCGGAUUCACUGGGUUUAAAGGGAGCGUAGGUGGGUUUGUAAGUCAGUGGUGAAAUCUCCGUGCUUAACAUGGAAACUGCCAUUGAUACUAUAGGUCUUGAAUUAUCUGGAGGUUAGCGGAAUAUGUCAUGUAGCGGUGAAAUGCAUAGAUAUGACAUAGAACACCAAUUGCGAAGGCAGCUGGCUACACAAAUAUUGACGCUGAGGCACGAAAGCGUGGGGAUCAAACAGG